GUGCGCCAAGGGCCCAAAGGGGAGUCAGCGGCCUGGGUCCUGGGAAGGGGCAGGCAGGGGGGGGGGGGGGGCGUCAGCCCACGUGCUGGGGGUGGGGGCCAGGGAAACAAUGAGGCCUUUGGUGAUUGUGCAGGAUCCACCCCCAGCUUCCCAGUGUGUCCCCUCUGUGGGCUGGAUCCCCGUGGCGGCGGCUUGGGGGGCGGGGCUGGGGGCCCUGAAUGGGCCCCUUGUCUCAGCGCUGGGUGUGGGCCAGGUUCCCCGGGCACACGGUGCCCUCGCCAGGCCUGGCCGGCCUCCGUGGCUUCCACCCUCCGCUGGCUGAGGACCGGCCCUGUGGGUGAGCCGGGCCCCUCCCUGACAGCCUGGGCUGGGCUCCCACCCCGGGCAGCAGAGGCAGGUAGGGAGAAGGACCCCAUCUAGUGGGGAAGGGGGGAAAGCAGCAGCCUCCGCUCAGAGCACCCGGGGCCCCAGACUAAAGGGGCCCCGUGAAGAGUGGGAUACUGGAGGCCGCCCCAGGUUGGACUUCCCGCCCUAUAGCUCCCUAGAUUUAUGACAGGUUCUUUGUGUUGUCUGCACCUCAGCUUCCUCGUGGGUAAAAUACCUACGGGAGGGCCGCUCCGCUGGUUACGUGACAUCAUACGUGGGGAAUGUCCAGGGAGGACCAGGAGCUCAGGAGCCCUCCCUCCUCCAUCAAGGCCUGCUUAGUUUCCCUCCCCUGGACCUGGGGGAAGGAGGGCUGAGGGCACAGGGAUUGGCUCCGCGGGUCCUGGAAGGGCCUCGGGGGUUGGGGUCAGGGCCAGGCAGGCUCUCACAAUGGGCUAGAACUCUGCCUUCCUCUGAGUUCUCAUCCACUUUGACUCCUCUCCCUGUCUCAGGGAGGGGAGGAAAGACUUAGGAUGAGUCGUCGGUGAAGGCUUUCCCCCUGGAUUCUCUCUUUCUUUCUUCUUGGCUGUGCCUGAAGCUCCUGAGAGACCCCUCAGGUGGUGGCCACUGGCCUGCAGCCUGUUCCCCUCCCCCCUUUGUACCAAAUGCUUGUCCUGCCCCCUGCUUGGUGUUCGUGUAUUGGGAGAAAUGGCUGUGGUAAUGCGGUUCUUCCGAUGGAUUUGGCAAAAGAUUACUCGCUGGGUUUUCUUCUGGAAACACAAAGCUAAGUCAACCGUCUUGGAACACCAUGACUCCCAGAAAAGUGUAGUGAAGGUGGAGAAGAGUCCCAAGGUGAUUGAGACUUUGAAGUUGGUUGAGCCCUGCGAAGAGGCUAAGGUCUCCAAGACGGCGGAGACCCCCAAGGUGGCUGAUCCCUUCACGUUGGUCAAAUCAACAGAUAAGGGUGAGGUGGCACAGAAACGUGUGGGCCGGUCCCUGCUGCAGCUGCCCUGGACAGCUGUCAAGUCUGUCUCCACACUCAUGGUCUCGACCCUGCACAGUGGCUGGCAAAUGUGCAGCUGGAAGUCCUCUGUGAGUUCUACCUCCAUUUCCUCCCAGAUGAGGCCUGGGUCCCCUCUGGAGACGCCGGAGGCUGAGAUGCUGCGGGAAGUGCACCUAAUAUUGUGGGCCAUCCGGAAACAGCUACAGCAGCUUGCUCGCAGGCAGGAGAGGCGGAGGCGGCGCCACAUCCGGGUCCACACUGGCCCCCAACCUGACACAGUUCAGGGCCUGAAACAGGAUGCCCGGAGUCCCCUCUAGGGGGGAGCCCCACAUCCUCCAAAAAGCCCCACCUCACUCUUAGCAGGUGCAUCUGGCAUCCAGAUUCCACGGCCGCACUUGGCUUUCUGCAGGAGCCUGGCCCAAGGUUCCUGAAGCUACCACUACAGUAAAGGAAACGAACAGUUCCAACACCAAAGGAUCUCUGCAGGAAAGCCUGCAGAGUGUUUCACCCCAGAGAUCCUCGGGAGCAUUUUGUGUGUGUUAAAUGCGGCCAGCUAUGCAUUCCACCUGAUCUUCCACAGCAGUUUCUGGUCCGCUUUCGCUUGGCGCCGCUCUCCCCCGUGCGGUCCGAACCGCCGCCGGCCGCCGCAGCACCUAGCGAGAAGCCCGCGGCACCGCAGGACCUGGGGGCGCCCGCGCAGCAGAGCAGCCUGGCUUU